AGAGUUUGAUCCUGGACUCAGGACGAACGCUGGCGGCGCGCCUAACACAUGCAAGUCGAACGAGCGAGAGAGAGCUUGCUUUCUCGAGCGAGUGGCGAACGGGUGAGUAACGCGUGAGGAACCUGCCUCAAAGAGGGGGACAACAGUUGGAAACGACUGCUAAUACCGCAUAAGCCCACGGUGCCGCAUGGUACAGAGGGAAAAGGAGCAAUCCGCUUUGAGAUGGCCUCGCGUCCGAUUAGCUAGUUGGUGAGGUAACGGCCCACCAAGGCGACGAUCGGUAGCCGGACUGAGAGGUUGAACGGCCACAUUGGGACUGAGACACGGCCCAGACUCCUACGGGAGGCAGCAGUGGGGAAUAUUGCACAAUGGGGGAAACCCUGAUGCAGCGACGCCGCGUGGAGGAAGAAGGUCUUCGGAUUGUAAACUCCUGUUGUUGGGGAAGAUAAUGACGGUACCCAACAAGGAAGUGACGGCUAACUACGUGCCAGCAGCCGCGGUAAAACGUAGGUCACAAGCGUUGUCCGGAAUUACUGGGUGUAAAGGGAGCGCAGGCGGGAAGACAAGUUGGAAGUGAAAUCUAUGGGCUCAACCCAUAAACUGCUUUCAAAACUGUUUUUCUUGAGUAGUGCAGAGGUAGGCGGAAUUCCCGGUGUAGCGGUGGAAUGCGUAGAUAUCGUGAGGAACACCAGUGGCGAAGG
rnacentral:rRNA from 1 species